rnacentral:rRNA from 1 species
GACGAACGCUGGCGGCGUGCUUAACACAUGCAAGUCGAACGGUGAAGCGCCUUCCUUUUUGGUGGGUGUGGAUGAGUGGCGAACGGGUGAGUAACACGUGAGUAACCUGCCCCCUUCUUCUGGAUAACCGCAUGAAAGUGUGGCUAAUACGGGAUAUUCUGGGUCUGUCGCAUGAUGGGUCUGGGAAAGAUAUUGUUUCGGUGGGGGAUGGGCUCGCGGCCUAUCAGCUUGUUGGUGGGGUGAUGGCCUACCAAGGCGGUGACGGGUAGCCGGCCUGAGAGGGUGGACGGUCACACUGGGACUGAGGCGCGGCCGAGACUACGACGGGGGGCAGCAGGGGAGAAUAUUGCACAAUGGGCGCAAGCCUGAUGCAGCGACGCCGCGUGAGGGAUGGAGGCCUUCGGGUUGUGAACCUCUUUCGCCAGUGAAGCAGGCCUGCCUCGUUUGUGGGUGGGUUGACGGUAGCUGGAUAAGAAGCGCCGGCUAAAUACGUG